rnacentral:rRNA from 1 species
ACGGAAGGCAGCAGUGGGGAAUAUUGGACAAUGGGCGCAAGCCUGAUCCAGCGACGCCGCGUGAGUGAAGAAGUAUUUCGGUAUGUAAAGCUCUAUCAGCAGGGAAGAUAAUGACGGUACCUGACUAAGAAGCCCCGGCUAACUACGUGCCAGCAGCCGCGGUAAUACGUAGGGGGCAAGCGUUAUCCGGAUUUACUGGGUGUAAAGGGAGCGUAGACGGAACAGCAAGUCUGAGGUGAAAUCAUGGGGCCCAACCCCGUAACUGCCUUGGAAACUGUUGAUCUCGAGUACCGGAGGGGCAGGCGGAAUUCCUGGUGUAGCGGUGAAAUGCGUAGAUAUCAAGAAGAACACCGGUGGCGAAGGCGGCCUGCUGGACGGUAACUGACGUUGAGGCUCGAAAGCGUGGGGAGCAAACAGGAUUAGAUACCCUGGUA